AGAGGUUACCGGAAUACCUAGUGUAGUGGUGAAAUACGUAGAUAUUAGGUGGAACCACCGGAGGCGAAGGCGGGUAACUGGCCAAACACUGACACUGAGGCCCGAAAGCGUGGGGAUCAAACAGGAUUAGAUACCCUGGUAGUCCACGCCGUAAACGAUGGAUACUUGCUGUUGGAGGUAUUGACCCCUUCAGUGGCGAAGCUAACGCGUUAAGUAUCCCGCCUGGGGAGUACGGUCGCAAGAUUAAAACUCAAAGAAAUUGACGGGGGCCCGCACAAGCGGUGGAGAAUGUGGUUUAAUUCGAUGCAACGCGCAAAACCUUACCUAGGCUUGACAUGGACUGGAAGACUGGCAGAAAUGUCGACGCCCGCAAGGGUCGGCUCACAGGUGCUGCAUGGCUGUCGUCAGCUCGUGUCGUGAGAUGCUGGGUUAAGUCCCGCAACGAGCGCAACCCUUACCUUUAGUUGCCAGCAUUUAGUUGGGCACUCUAGAGGGACUGCCUACGUUAAGUAGGAGGAAGGUGGGGAUGACGUCAAGUCCUCAUGGCCCUUAUGUCUAGGGCUACACACGUUCUCCAAUGGAAGUCACAAUGAGAUGCCAAGUCGCAGGAUGGAGCCAAUCUCAUAAAAGCUUUCUAAGUUCGGAUUGCAGUCUGCAACUCGACUGCAUGAAGGUGGAAUCGCUAGUAAUCGCGGAUCAGCAUGCCGCGGNANAAUACGUUCCCGGGCCUUGUACACACC
rnacentral:rRNA from 1 species